rnacentral:rRNA from 1 species
ACGCUCGACACCUACGGAGGCAGCAGUGGGGAAUAUUGCACAAUGGGGGAAACCCUGAUGCAGCGACGCCGCGUGAAGGAAGAAGUAUCUCGGUAUGUAAACUUCUAUCAGCAGGGAAGAAAAUGACGGUACCUGACUAAGAAGCCCCGGCUAACUACGUGCUAGCAGCCGCGGUAAUCUGAGCGGGCUGGCAAGGC